rnacentral:rRNA from 1 species
CGCGUAGGCGGGCGAGCCAGUCCGGGGUGAAAGCUUUCGGCUUAACCGGAAAAGGGCCUUGGAUACUGCUCGUCUGGAGGGAGGUAGGGGUCUGCGGAACUGCGGGUGGAGCGGUGAAAUGCGUUGAUAUCCGCAGGAACGCCGGUGGCGAAAGCGGCGGACUGGACCUCUUCUGACGCUGAGGCGCGAAAGCCAGGGGAGCGAAG